rnacentral:tRNA from 1 species
UGGGCAUGUAACUCAGUGGGAGAGUGCUCGCUUUGCAUGCGAGAAGUCCGGCGUUCAAUCCGCCGCUUGUCCAC